rnacentral:tRNA from 2 species
GCGGAUGUGGCGAAACUGGCAGACGCGCUAGACUUAGGAUCUAGUCCGAAAGGGUGGGGGUUCAAGUCCUCUCAUCCGCACCA